rnacentral:rRNA from 1 species
GACGAACGCUGGCGGCGUGCCUAAUACAUGCAAGUCGAACGCAGUGGGGACGGGUGCGUAACACGUGGGUAACCUCCCAUCAGAGGGGAUAACACUUGGAAACAGGUGCUAAACCGCUACUGAUGGAUGGACCCGCGGUGCAUUCGCUAGUUGGUGAGGUAACGGCUCACCAAGGCCACGAUGCAUAGCCGGACUGAGAGGGUGAUCGGCAACACGGGGACGGAGACACGGCCCAGAAUCCUACGGGAGGCAGCAGUAGGGAAUAUUGGGAAAUGGACGAAAGUCUGACGGAGCAACGCCGCGUGAGUGAAGAAGGUUUUCGGAUCGUAAAAGACUGUUGGUAGAGAAGCGGUAUCUAAACAAAAAGCAACGGCUAACUACGUGCCAGCAGCCGCGGUAAUUC